rnacentral:rRNA from 1 species
CCUGGCGCCGCCGCUCGUGAGUUUGAUCCUGGCUCAGAGUGAACGCUGGCGGCAGGCCUAACACAUGCAAGUCGAACGGCAGCACAGAGGAGCUUGCUCCUUGGGUGGCGAGUGGCGGACGGGUGAGGAAUGCAUCGGAAUCUGCCUAUUUGUGGGGGAUAACGUAGGGAAACUUACGCUAAUACCGCAUACGUCCUACGGGAGAAAGUGGGGGACCUUCGGGCCUCACGCAGAUAGAUGAGCCGAUGCCGGAUUAGCUAGUUGGCGGGGUAAAGGCCCACCAAGGCGACGAUCCGUAGCUGGUCUGAGAGGAUGAUCAGCCACACUGGAACUGAGACACGGUCCAGACUCCUACGGGAGGCAGCAGUGGGGAAUAUUGGACAAUGGGCGCAAGCCUGAUCCAGCCAUGCCGCGUGUGUGAAGAAGGCCUUCGGGUUGUAAAGCACUUUUGUCCGGAAAGAAAAGCGCUCGAUUAAUACUCGGGUGUAUGACGUACCCGAGAAAGGCUAUGUAGA